CAGUAGCCGCGGUAAUACGUAGGUGGCAAGCGUUGUCCGGAAUUAUUGGGCGUAAAGCGCGCGCAGGCGGAUCAGUUAGUCUGUCUUAAAAGUUCGGGGCUUAACCCCGUGAUGGGAUGGAAACUGCUGAUCUAGAGUAUCGGAGAGGAAAGUGGAAUUCCUAGUGUAGCGGUGAAAUGCGUAGAUAUUAGGAAGAACACCAGUGGCGAAGGCGACUUUCUGGACGAAAACUGACGCUGAGGCGCGGAAGCCAGGGGAGCGAACGGGAUUAGAUACCCCGGUAGUCCCUGUCUCUUAUACA
rnacentral:rRNA from 1 species